UACGGGGGGGGCAAGCGUUGUUCGGAAUUACUGGGCGUAAAGGGCGCGUAGGCGGUUGGAUAAGUCAGCUGUGAAAACCACGAGCUUAACUCGUGGCCUGCAGUUGAGACUGUCUGGCUUGAGUGUGGGAGAGGAGAGUGGAAUUCCUGGUGUAGCGGUGAAAUGCGCAGAUAUCAGGAGGAACACCGGUGGCGAAGGCGGAUCUCUGGGCCUUACCUGACGCUGAGGCGCGAAAGCUAGGGGAGCGAACAGG
rnacentral:rRNA from 1 species